CCAUUGUUUUGCUUUGCUUUAUCGCGCGCUCUCUCUCUCUCUCCCCCCUAAAUUUCUCUCGUCUUCCCAACGACUUCCAUCCACUUCAGAGUUGAUUUAUCGUUCUGAUGAUAAAUCCAAGAGGUAGACUUUGAUUGAUCUCCGGUUUUCUCCACCAGAUCCACUCUUCUCUGCUCCCCCUGUUCAAUGACUACUACUACAAGAGGCAAAGAGCCCGCCUCCUCCUCUUUCGCUUCUCGGAGCAGCGGCAGCUAUAACGUGUUCUUGAGCUUCAGAGGCGAGGACACUCGCUGGACCUUCGCCGACCACCUCUACACGGCUCUUAGGAACGCCGGAUUUCGCAUCUUCAGAGACAAUCAUAAAAUCCAAAGAGGAGAAAGCAUGAACGUUGAGCUGCAGAGGGAAAUCGAAGAGUCGAGGGUUUCAAUUGUUGUCUUGUCCAGAAACUAUGCGUCUUCGAGCUGGUGCCUCGAUUAGCUUGCGAUAAUCCUCGGAAGACGACGGAGGAGGGACUCUGGCCACGUGGUUCUGCCGGUGUUCUACGGCGUGGAUCCGUCGGAGGUCAGGAAACAAAAGGGAGUUUAUGCGGUGGCAUUUGCGAGGCAUGAAGAGCGAUUCAAGUUCGAGGUGGGAGAGGGUGAAGCAGCAGCAGCAGAGUGGAAGGAGAAAUUGAAGCGGUGGAGGGAAGCGGUGGAGGAAAUUGCUGGUUUAGCAGGAAUGCCUUUACCAGAUGGAGGUGAUAGGUAAUUGUUUGCGUCCCACUUCUUUGUCCAUAGUUGUGAAUGGACUGUAAUUUAAUUACAAUAUUAAUUAAAUAUUCUAAUGAGCAAAAAUGUAUCAAAAAAGUAAAUUUGACUAAUCAUAAUAGUAAAACUGUUAAUUGAAACAAUUUGCCAUUGUAAAAUUUCUAUUUUUUUUAAGAAAAAAUUAAAAUUUAAGAUCAAUAUCAUUAAAAUUGUAAUAUUACAAUAUCAUGAGUAUAAUUUUGGUAGUUUUUAUAUUGUAAUAUUAUCAAAUUAGUUAGAUCAUAAUAAUUAUAAUAUAGCAAUAUAGAAUUAUAUUACCAGCAAUAUCAUAAAUGGGGAAUUAAUUAGAUCAUAACUAUAAUAUAGCUAAUUUGUUUCACAGUUACAGGAUACCCUAUGGACACUGCUUGUGAUGCAAUCUCUUUACAAGAAGACAUAUUCUAUUAGAAAUAGAGUCCAUUAACUUUCUGAAAGAUAAUAGAUUCAAGUUGCUUGGGUGGGGGGAGAGAUUGGUAGACUAGAGGAACUUCAUGUGUGAAAACGUUUCUUAUUUUUGAAAAAUGAAAUUUCUUGUCAUUAAAUAGAGUGCUUUUGCCAUCUGAUUUCUUUGAUUUAUUUUAUUUUUCCAUUGUUCUUUUCAUAUUUUUGGCUUCAUCCUAAUGGUAUUAAUUUUAAGUUCAAACGGAUGCAGUUUUUCCGUGGACCAUGAUAAUUUUCAUAAUAUAUUAGUUUUUUGCAGAGAAAAUUUUAAUUUAUUUAAGUUGUCAAAUUCUUAGUGAUUGAUGAGCUAUUACUUUCUGCAUGGAUUGCAAACGAGUCAAAGUUUAUCCAAAAAAUUAUCAAAGUGGUUGAAGACAAGCUAAGCCGGCCAAGAGUCUUGAAUGUUGCCACUUACCCUAUUGGACUAGAUUCCCGUGCCAAAAGCAUUAAUUUGUGGUUACAAGAUGGACGGGUUGAUGUUAGACUUAUUGCCAUUUGUGUGAUGGGUGGAAUUGGCUAGACAACCAUUGCUAAAUUUGUGUACAACUCAAACGUCUCAAAUUUUGAACGCAACAACUUCCUUGCAAAUAUAAGAGAAAUUUCUAGACUACAAAAUGGUUUAACUCUUUUACAAGGCAACUUCUUUCAGAUAUUUUGAGCAGAAGAGAGGAAGAAAUACGCAAUGUUGAUGUGGGGAUUGUUAAGAUUAAAGAAGCUAUUGGUUCUAAAAGAGUUCUUAUAGUUCUUGAUGAUGUGGACAAACAAGAACUGUUGGCAUGUGAUACCCAACAAGUCCAAGGCGAUGAUGGUAAGAUCGGGUAAGUAUAAAACUAUCAUAGUCUUUAGCUCGGGAUUGAUAGAUUUAAAGGUCCAAACCCACUUAUAGGAAGCCCGAUAAGAAGAUGGCUCAAGUAAGUAGUUGCUCAAAACAAGAACCAAGCCUAACUCAUUUUGGUCCCAGCCCAUUUUGCUAAUUGCCCUAUAUGACACCCAUUAGAAAACCCAUUAUUCUCCUUAUAUAUGUCUAGCCUAUUAGCCCAUCACCCAUCUCUUUAAGCCCAUUACUUAUGUGAUCUAGCCUAUUUGAAGUUGCUGGAGGCUCGAGACUUGGUCAUUGCCAUUCAAACCCAGGUUUGUUUCUCCCCCUUUUUCCUCACCCUCAUCUCAUCUCUUAUAGAUACCUAGGGAGCCUCAUCUUUGUGAGAUGCUUCGAUGGUUAUCUACAUAUAUUGUGUUUGUAGGGGUGGUUUUUUGAACGGGCGAGAAGAGAGAGAGAGAGAGAGAGCCGAAGAGGAGAAGAGCGCUUGUGGCUGUUGGUAUUCAUUCGGGUUGGGGUUAUUUUCUUCCGAUUUGGGCAGAUUUUGGGUUCGAUUUGAGGCUGGUUUUGGGUUUUCCUUGGGACCAAUUCUUGGCUUGACCUUAGUUGGUUUUGGACCGAUCGAUCUGAGCCUUGAAGCUCCACCUUCAUCUCCUACAUUGCCGGCAAUUCGUGGAAGCACAACAGGGAGUAUUUUUUGCUUUGAUUUUUUGGUUUGUUGUUUUGAUUUAACUCACUGUUUUAGUGUGUUUUUCUUCGAUCUAACUUGUGGGUUUGUGGAUUUUGCAAGGUAUUUUCACAAAAACAAUUAGACGCAGUCCUUGGAAUGAAGGAUUGGCUUUCUCGAGGUAGUAAAUUGAUCAUAACUACUAGAGAUGAGCAAUUACAAAGAGCUCAUGAAUGUUGGAAGGUACACAAGGUAAAGGAGUUGGAUCGUGACAAAUCCCUAGAGCUUUUCAGUUUGUAUGCCUUUGGACAAAGCCAUCAUAGUGAUGGUUAUUUGGUAGACUCAGAAAGGGCAGUAGAUUAUUGCAGAGGGCUUCCAUUAGCUGUUAAAAUUUUGGGUUCUUCCCUAUCUGGUAGAAGGUUAGAUGUGUGGGAAAGUCAACUACAAAAAUUGAAGGCGAUUCCUAACAAUUAAAUCCUUGAAAAACUCAAACUAAGUUACGACUCAUUACAAGAUGACUAUGACAAAGAUUUAUUCCUUGAUAUUGCUUGCUUCUUUGUUGGAGGGGACAAAGACACCACAAUUACUAUCCUAGAAGGAUGUGGUCAUUUCGCAUUGGUUGGGAUUCAAAAUCUUAUUGACAGAAAUAUGUUAACCAUUGAAGCUAACAAGCUGGUGAUGCAUCAAUUGAUUCAGGAAAUAGGAAGGGGCAAAAAUCACCCGAAGAGUUAGGAGAACGCAGCAGGCUCUGGAAUCACAAGGAUUCCUUUAGUAUCUUGAACGGAAAAAUUGGCACAAGAAAAAUCAGAGUCCUCGUUCUUGACAUGCAUUUCUUGAAGGAAGAUGAGUCUGAGUGGAACAGGUUUUGGCCAACAGCUGCUCUAAAAAGCAGAAGAGAUUAGUCAUGUACAAUUAUGUGGAGACUAUAAAAGUUUCCCCAAAGGAUUGAGGUGGUUGCAUUGGUCUCAUUUCCCUUUACAAAGGAUACCCAAUGAUUUUUCUUUGGACAAGCUGGUUGCUCUUGGAAUGCCUUAUAGUUGCUUGAAAAAAGUUUUGAAUGGAACCAAGGUUGGCUAAGGUUAAUUAAUCGAUUGGAUGCCUAGAAAGACUUGUUUUCUUGAACUUGAGCAAUUGUCAAAGCUUGAGGGAGCUUCCACAAACCAUUUGUCGGCUAAAAUCUCUGGCAACACUUGACCUUAGCGGUUGCUUAAAUCUUGGAAAAUUUUCAGCAGAGCAGGGUAAUAUGAAUUCUUUGGCCGUGCUUCUAGCAGAUGGAACUGC